UCUUAAAAAUGCUUUCCUACUACUUGAAAUUCAGGUUCUGAAAUUCAGGUAGACUGUGGAAGCUUUUACUGGAUCCAUAACACAUGCAAGUUAGCACCACUGCCAAGGAUUUGGUGCUCUUAACAGAAGACACUGACUAAAUACACAGUAUGUUUACGAUUCAUCACUUAUGUCCCUACAGGUGAGAGUCAAGGAAGUUUCCCAGGGACCGAGACGAAGAAAAGCAGCAGGAGCAACCUGUGGACUACAUGCCAAGAGCUCAGCAGUCAGUAAGCCAUGCCCAAUGCCCGGCGCUCCACCUCCUGCCAUGCAUGGCUGUCCCAGCAGCCGCCAGCCCUGUACGGAGCCGUGCUGCAGCAUGCAACACCUGAACAGGCUGUGAAACCCCUGAGCUAAAGUCACUGCGAGAGCAGGAAGGUGCAGCAAACUGAACAGCCCAGCUGACGUGCAGACACAUGGAAAACACCUUCAAGAAAAGUUCAGAAAGAUAACAUAUCUCAUGUGCCAUGGAAGUAACACACUCUGUCUUCAGUGUAACUAUCAGCAGUCAGUCAGUACUCAGAGCAUUCCCUGACAGAGGACGCCUGAACCUCCAGCAUGCCCGCACCUGGAACCUACAGCAUAACAAAGUGGUUUGAAUUCAGAACAACAGCCGUCCCGUACGGCAGCCUCCUCUGGCUACCAAACGAGUGCACCUUCCUGCAGUCUGCCACAGUUUGAGCGCAGCAAGGCUAACUGAGGGCUGAACAAUGGAACCCAGUGGAGAUGUGAAGAAUGGCUCACCUGCCUGUGGAGGUGACCGCGUACAGGAGGGCACAGAGACCUUUCUGCCACGAGGUACGGCACACACAGAUGUACCACCAUGUGUGGUUUCAAGUACAACCCCACAGCAGUAGCACUGAAAGCCUAACAGUGCAAUUCACAGAUCUGAUUCCUCCCUAUAAAAUAGAUAUCCAGCUGUCCCUUUUCCAGUUCAGGUAUUUAAUCUUCUGAUGUGAGCUGGAAUGAAAACAUUUAGAAGAGUAACAGAAAGACAAUGUCCUCAUUUUCUCUCUCACACCACUCACAAAUGCGAUAAAGUACACAGAAUUUUAAAUGUAAAGAAACAAGUCCAUAUUCUUAAAACGGGUAUUCCUAUAUUUUUGAAACAAAAUGUUCACACUAUAGAUGAUUGCUUAAAGCUUUUCAGUACUUCGUUUCCUUAACGUCCCAUUUUCUACAUGCCCUGUGUUACUAGCAUCCAUUCUUUGAAGUGCAUAUCUCCACUAAACCCAGAACUGUUUAAGUGACUCAUUUGUUCUCUGCUCAUUAGUUCAGAAUCAACUGCUCCUGUUGUAUUGUAGCAUAAGGAUUCAACUUUCACCAUUUAAAAUCUUGUUUUUAAUUGUUAUUACAAUGCUACCUGCAUUCUUAAACUCGGUUAUUGGUAACUUUACGUGGUCUUAUUUCUGCACAGAGCACCGACUCUACAUUCCUUAUUUCUUCAGAACACACUUUCCAGGAAACACUAGUUUGAGAACAUGGCUUUAUCUCACAAACAAAAGCACUUUUCAGUCUUUCUUAUCAACCUCAGGCACAGCACCCAGAAAUGCUGUGCAUUGCUGACUCCACAGACCACCACGUUCCACAAGAAGUUUCAGCAUUCCUUGAGAUGUGAAAAAUAGAAUUAGUGGUACAGGGUAGUCUGUGGCGUGGGAUAUUCGUGGCAGACCUGGGGUUACUUCCUGCUCCAUCACAAGUGUCUGAGUCACCACAGGAAACUACUUCCCUGCGUUUAGAGCACUGUGUGUAGCUGCAAGCCUCAGACAAAAAUGCAAAAAGCGAUGAAUUAGCAUGAGAAGGAUACUAAAUUAACUCUGUAGACCCUCUUCAAAUUUACUUCCAGUCAGCAGCAACAAAAUGUCACGACAUGCUAAAUGACAUUAUGUUAAACUAUUUCAAGAUCUCAAUCCUUAAUCCAGCAAUAGUCAGACUGCAAUCACUGAUUACUUUCCAAGGAUGAUCCAAGUCCUGCUCACAUAUGGAUAACUGCCUUCUUCGAAGCCCAGCAUGUUCUACAUCAGAGACAAAUUAGGGAGAUGAGGCAUUUGCAACAUCCUUCUCACUGAUUUUAAGUAAUCUGAAGACCCUCUUCUUCCACCAACUCCACAAUGACAUUUUAUGGAAAGCCAGUAAUAGAAAUCUCUCUUUGGAGGAAUCCUUGGAUUACCAAAAAACGUUCUCUCAGCAUUCCCUCUGAAGAUCCAAGGUGAAUAACCCAGGUUUUGAAGCUAGUGAUUCAUAUUCAGCAGAACAAUAGCUCUCAGACCAGAGAACUGUAUUUUCUCUUACCACUAUUAAUUUCUGUUCAGGUUUAUCGAAAAUAUGAAUGAAAUGCGCAAUUUCACUCACUUGUAUCACCUGGGAAACGCUUCAUGGCAUAAAAAAUUAAAAUCCAGCCAUAAUCACUCUGAAGUUGGGCUGAGACUGUGCCAGAAAAUAAAACACAGGCCAUUACAAAUGCUUGGGAAACGACAGGUGCAGGUACACCUUUCUGCCACUUCGUGCUCCCUCAGUACUUUCUAGAUUCAAACAUUACUACACCCUUUGCUGCAAAGUAUUGUCCCCCCCCCUUCUGUCACAUGGUUAGAUCAAAACUUUACAUUGCAAUGCUGAAUCCAGAACAUCAAACCCUAACAAUGACUCACUACCUGAAAUUUAACUGUAAAUGUCAGUAUUUUCAAACCUUUUUCUUUUAUUGGAGUGUUACAAAGAAAAAAAAAAAAAGGCUUUAGGUUGGAUGAUCAAGCACUCAAAAUUAGAAAACAACGAAAGUUUGACACGCAACUCUAUUUCCUCCUAUGCACAUUAAGGAACAGCUCUCAUGAAAUACUUAUUUCCUCCCACUCACUCCUUUAGCAGAGCAGAAUCUGUAUGUACCUGGAAGAAUUAUAUUUGCACAAAGAACAAUACUUAUUCUUUAAACUGAUCAGCUGGUUUAAAAUAAAGCUGUUUAGGACAGCAGAUAUUUUAAUACACACAGAAAUGCUCUUAAAAUUACUGCUUUACAGGUGCCGUUUAAAUGAACAUCCAUCUCAACUUCUGUUAUGAAGUGCCUGCUUUUAUUUGUAAACUAUCUAUUUUACAUGACUGCACUUGACCUAACACAAAGCCAAGCUAAAAUUUUACAGUACACCAUCAACAUCUGCCAGCCAAAUCUUCCCUCGUCACACCUGUGCAACCAGUCUUCAAUUACACCCUGGGCACACUUGCAUAAUCACAGAUAUCAGCCAUGUGGGGACGAGGCAUACUCAGACAUCUCAGCUGUGUUAACUCCUCCGUGCUCCAAAAAGAGGGGAAUGAAAAUUCUGCACAUGGAACUCAUAACCCUUAUGAUUUAUACACAUGUAUGUCGGUUUAUAUAUACUUCAAAAUAAACAAUUCAGUAAUCAAGGGAUCAGUUGAGAAGAUUUUCAUUGCUUUUACCAGAAGACAACUGCACAUGCACAGAAGCAAAGGGCAAAGACCACGACUUCAGGCUUAUCUCUAUGCAAAACUGAACUACUUCGCAUCGAUUUAAAAACUCCUUCAACUAGGAGUUUAUCCUUAAAAUGGGGUUAUAUAUGCAUCAAUACACAAACGUAUAUAGAAAUGUGUUUCAAAUGUGAUUUCCAGACCAAC